rnacentral:rRNA from 1 species
GUGACAGCAGCCGCGGUAAUACGGAGGGUGCAAGCGUUAUUCGGAAUUACUGGGCGUAAAGCGCGUGCAGGCGGGAUGGUAAGUCUGAUGUGAAAGCCCGGGGCUUAACCUCGGAAGAGCAUUGGAAACUAUCAUUCUUGAGUUCUGGAGAGGAAGGGGGAAUUCCCGGUGUAGAGGUGAAAUUCGUAGAGAUCGGGAGGAAUACCAGUGGCGAAGGCGCCCUUCUGGACAGUGACUGACGCUGAGACGCGAAAGCGUGGGGAGCAAACAGGAUUAGAUACCCGAUAGUCC